CUACACUAUCACUUGGUGAAUAUUUAAUAAACAGAUUUUGAAGUCAACUAAUAUUUGCAGUAAGAGAGUCAAGUGUGACUGAGCAGGACCUUAGGGGGCCCCUCUCCCCAGGUCCUCUGCUGUGGCUCCUCUCUGAAGUAUUUAGACAACUGUAUUUGAUGCAUAUUCCCUAAGUUGUUUUACUAAUGCUAAAACCCCGACUAAAUGGAAGAAGUUAACUACUCAAUGACCUUGAGCAAGUACCCCCUAGACCUACUAAAGGCUGAAGACUGAUAAUGUUAACCCCUGUGACACCACCCUCUUACCUCACCAUCAACCAAUCAGAGAAUCAUGCCCAAGCGCAUCACAAACCCUGCAACUCCUCUCCCUCACCUAGCCUUUAAAUGCUUCCCCAAAACCUACUGGGCAGUCUGGGCUUUUUGAGCAUGAGCUGCCCUGGAUUCCUCAUCUGGCACCUUACAAGAAAUUCUGUACUUUCCUGGACUAUAACAGACAAACAGCUCCACAUAGAAUUUAAGCUCAGUAUGGAGAAAGAAGGCUUCCCAGGUGGCUCUAGUGGUAAAGAGCCUGCCUGUCAACGCAGGAGACAAAAGAGAUGCGGGUUCAAUCCCUACAUCAGGAAGAUCCUCUGGCGGAGGGUAUGGCAACCCCACUCCAGUAUUUUUGCCUGGAGAAUCCCAUGGACAGAGGAGCCUGGUGGGCUACACUCCAUGGGGUCACAAAGAGUCAGACAUGACUAAAGCAACUUCGUGCAACUUAGCAUGGGGCAGCAUGGCACACAGGAAUAAACAGAAGUGUCUUGCAUACUUGAACCAAGAUUCACACCUGUUACUCAUCCUCCCUACUGUAACAGCCCAAGUCUAUUAAACUACAGGAUUUACCUCUUUCAACCCUAAGAUCCUGUCUGUUACCAAGGACUGUCGCUUUAGAAAUGUUUGUUUGAAGAUAUCUUACCCUCUCCAUUCUCUCUGCUAAGUUAUCUUUGAUCCUAUACUGUUACAAUUCAUGUCACCAGUGAUAUUUAUAUAAAAUACAGGUUCCUGGGUCUUAAGAACCAGCCUCAUCAGCUCCAAGAUCAUGAAGCAUUCUUCUUUGGCAACUUCCUGCAGCCCCGCAUCUCUGUCAUUUGAAAUCUGCCCUUGGAAAGGUACCUCACAGCCCAGAUCCUAGUAUUCUCCAGUUUCCUCUUAGG
rnacentral:lncRNA from 1 species